AAGGACCCUAGAGAUGGAUACACAUGAACAAAAGGAACAUGACUUAAGAUCUGCUUUAAAAGAGAAGGAAACUGAAGCCUUGCAGCAAAGGACCCAAGAGAUGGACACAGAUGAACAAAAGCAACAUGAUUUAAG